AUACGGAGGAUGCAAGCGUUAUCCGGAUUUAUUGGGUUUAAAGGGUGCGUAGGCGGCGCGGUAAGUCUGGAGUGAAAGUCCUGCUUUCAAGGUGGGAAUUGCUUUGGAUACUGUUUUUCUUGAGUGAAGUAGAGGCAAGCGGAAUUCCUAGUGUAGCGGUGAAAUGCGUAGAUAUUAGGAGGAACACCAGUGGCGAAGGCGGCUUGCUGGGCUUUUACUGACGCUGAGGCUCGAAAGUGUGGGGAGCAAACAGGAUUAGAUACCCUGGUAGUCCACACCGUAAACGAUGAUUACUAGGUGUGGGGGCGUCAAGCUUCCGUGCCGGAGUUAACACAAUAAGUAAUCCACCUGGGGAGUACGGCCGCAAGGUUGAAACUCAAAGGAAUUGGCGGGG
rnacentral:rRNA from 1 species